rnacentral:lncRNA from 1 species
GGGGUCGGUCAUUUGUGACUCAAAAAUGCGGGAAGAUGAGGAGUAAUAUAAAGGGGACUUCAAAAUUGUGGGAAUCUUAAUGGUUUCAAAAAUUUUGCUGCUAUAAUUUGUUUUUUUUGUGGGGGUCACUUACUAUAUGCAUGUAAUGUAUGGUAGAGAUGAGCAACCAGACUAUAUGUCACUAUUUUCAGGUUCCUGAUAGAUGGUAAGAUCGAAAAAUUAUGUUUAAAUAAAUAUGUCAAGGCUGAGAUCAGAUGCCGAUUUGUUUCCAAUAUGCUGUUAAAACCACUAUCGAAAAUGCAUCAGAUAUUUGUCAAAUGGAUUUACU